rnacentral:rRNA from 1 species
UACGUAGGGGGGCUAGCGUUGUCCGGAAUCAUUGGGCGUAAAGCGCGUGUAGGCGGUCCGGUAAGUCCGCUGUGAAAGUCGGGGGCUCAACCCUCGGAUGCCGGUGGAUACUGUCGGGCUUGAGUACGGAAGAGGCGAGUGGAAUUCCUGGUGUAGCGGUGAAAUGCGCAGAUAUCAGGAGGAACACCAAUUGCGAAGGCAGCUCGCUGGGACGUUACUGACGCUGAGACGCGAAAGCGUGGGGAGCAAACGGG